rnacentral:rRNA from 1 species
GACGAGCGCUGGCGGCGUGCUUAACACAUGCAAGUCGAACGGAAAGGCCCUGCUUUUGUGGGGUGCUCGAGUGGCGAACGGGUGAGUAACACGUGAGUAACCUGCCCUUGACUUUGGGAUAACUUCAGGAAACUGGGGCUAAUACCGGAUAGGAGCUCCUGCUGCAUGGUGGGGGUUGGAAAGUUUCGGCGGUUGGGGAUGGACUCGCGGCUUAUCAGCUUGUUGGUGGGGUAGUGGCUUACCAAGGCUUUGACGGGUAGCCGGCCUGAGAGGGUGACCGGCCACAUGGGGACUGAGAUACGGCCCAGACUCCUACGGGAGGCAGCAGUGGGGAAUAUUGCACAAGGGGCGGAAGCCUGAUGCAGCAACGCCGCGGGCGGGAUGACGGCCUUCGGGUUGUAAACCGCUUUCGCCUGUGACGAAGCGUGAGUGAGGUUAAGGGGUAAAGAAGCACCGGCUAGCUACGUG